GAAAUAGGCUACGUUUCGCUACCAUACGGUCAGAAUGGAAUAACGGGGCUGAAUAUGACUCGUGUUUACUAAAAUAUAAGCCAUAUUAAAUGCUAUCAAGAAGCUUGAAAAUUAUGCCGAAUCUCCGACUAAAAAUGUUUUGACAACAUAGUCAUUGUCAGGCAAAUAUUUCCAAUCUCCUCAGCUACUAGACUUAUAUUAAACCUGUCAAGUAGAAAGCGUAGUUUUGUAUACCAGUAUGGUCCAGUGUUGAUCACAACUUGCGAGUAUAUAAAUAACAUCAACGAAUAUACGACCAUUGCUCAGGCUCAGUAUCGUAAAUUUGUAUAUUUUUUUUUUAGUUGAGCACAUUUUUAAUACAGUAUGAAUUUGGUUAUGUAGAUAUCGAACAUGAUCAACGAACACUGUCGUAUUUACAAGGUUAUUUGUAUAUAUAAAUUUUCCGCCAUAUUAAAAAUACUGAAAUCUGCUAGGCGUUCUGAAGCACCUUUAGCGGUGACGUCACACCUAGGUCCCAGUCUCGUACUACAUGAACGUUUUUUUCUCGCGCUUGCUUCAGAACGACUGGGACUAGGCUG